GUUUCUCACCGUGGAAGGACCAAGCCACAUUAGUUCCAACAAGUUCUGCCUAUGGACCUAGCUGUUUCUGGAAACAGGAGAGGAUGGAAGUCAUGUUUUUGUAAAGGGCUGAGCUGCUGUGGGUGUAAUCAUUGAGAAGUUCAUAUUCAUGCGUGGAAUACAUCUAACAGUACAUUCAGAUGUUACUCCAUCUCCUUCAGUUUACAGGCUGAUCUCUAAGGAUGAUGAGGAUUUGGAAAUAUGCCUUAUCACAGAUUACUCCCCUGAAAACCUUACUCUUAACUCAGCUGAGCACACAAAUGCUGUUGUGGAGGUGGCAACAUCCGAGAACAAACAGGAAGUGAGCUACCUGUCAACCUACUGGGCCAAGAAGGAUGAAAUGAAGUGUGGUGCAAUACACGAGGGCUUUGGAGAACUGGAGGGCGAGGAUCCGGAAAGUGGUGCCAGCACUGUCUGUGUUACAGGGUUGUCUCUACACUUCAGGACAGAUGAAAACCUGAACAUGCUGUCUUUAUCACAGCUGGGCCUGAAAAUAAUUUUAAUGAAAGGAAUAAUUUUUAAUGUGCUGAUGACGAUGCUUAUGUGGAAAAAAAAGAGUGAAAGUAACCAGAUGGUGCAGUCCUGAAGUAACAAAAAAAUCUUCUGAGGAAUCUACCAGAGUAUCGUGUGCAAUAGGGAACACAGGCAUUUCUGUUGCAUGGGAUAUCACUUGCUGUUUCUGUAUAUCACGCCAGCCAUUAUAGUCUAAAUUGCUUUAUUUGCAUUGUUAUAAAGGUACUCAAAAAUAAGCUUAAAAUUUUCAGCACUCUGCUCCCCCAGAUGCCUGAUUCAUUUAGCAUGACAAUGCCUCUUUUUGCAUGAAACAUAGUUUACUAUAACUAUAAAUUGCCAAACAUCACUAUUACUUGUGUUAAAAUGACACACAAUUUCUGCUUGGGGCAGUGUUGUUUGUUGAAAACUGCAAGCUAAAUAUCACUUGAAUGUGAAUUUUUCAUAUUUUGGUGGCUUUCAGGUAUGCACGUCUUAGAGUGCACCCCCACAGACACCAUUUCAGUUGCAAAUGAAACACUGAAAAAUAAACGGAGAGUUAUUCAGGGUGCUAUGCACCAUGUCCUGCUAUCUUUUGCUAGAUCAGAGCAAGGUAUCUUUUUUAUUCCCUUAAAAGAUAUGCUGCUAGGUCUCCCAGAAGUCCUGAAUUCAGUGAAAUUCUCACUUCAUUAUCACAGAACAAAAUAAUGUUUUUUAGUAUUGUUUAAAGUCUAUCUGGCCUUAACAUUUUCUGAAUUUAAACCAGCUUAAGAUUUGGCUUUGUGUUUAGUAAAAAUACAAACUACUUUUGUUCUUUUUGUUUCAUUCUAACAAACUUAGAUUUCCCAAUUUUUUUUUUUAAUAAUCAUUGCAUAAAGCUAUACUGAAAUAUUUACCUGUCCAUAUGUGCACUCCUUGGAAACAGUGCAUGCAUGUGAAAUUCGCACGCUGCUAAUUCUUGAAUGGUACUGGCAACCACACUGAUGUCUUGGCAUUUCUUUAGGCCUUUGGCUGCUAUUAAACAA